rnacentral:rRNA from 1 species
UACGAAGGGGGCGAGCGUUGUUCGGAUUUACUGGGCGUAAAGCGUGCGCAGGCGGUUGUGCAAGACCGAUGUGAAAUCCCCGGGCUUAACCUGGGAAUGGCAUUGGUGACUGCACGGCUAGAGUGUGUCAGGAGGGGGGUAGAAUUCCACGUGUAGCAGUGAAAUGCGUAGAGAUGUGGAGGAAUACCGAUGGCGAAGGCAGCCCCCUGGGAUAACACUGACGCUCAUGCACGAAAGCGUGGGGAGCAAACAGG